rnacentral:rRNA from 1 species
UACGGGGGGAGCAAGCGUUGUUCGGAUUUACUGGGCGUAAAGGGCGUGUAGGCGGCCACCGCAAGUCGACUGUGAAAUCUCCGGGCUUAACUCGGAAAGGUCAGCCGAUACUGUGGGGCUAGAGUGCAGAAGGGGCAACUGGAAUUCUCGGUGUAGCGGUGAAAUGCGUAGAUAUCGAGAGGAACACCUGCGGCGAAGGCGGGUUGCUGGGCUGACACUGACGCUGAAACGCGAAAGCUAGGGGAGCGAACGGG